rnacentral:rRNA from 2 species
UUGAUCAUGGCUCAGAUUGAACGCUGGCGGCAGGCCUAACACAUGCAAGUCGAACGGUAACAGGAAGCAGCUUGCUGCUUUGCUGACGAGUGGCGGACGGGUGAGUAAUGUCUGGGAAACUGCCUGAUGGAGGGGGAUAACUACUGGAAACGGUGGCUAAUACCGCAUAACGUCGCAAGACCAAAGAGGGGGACCUUCGGGCCUCUUGCCAUCAGAUGUGCCCAGAUGGGAUUAGCUUGUUGGUGAGGUAACGGCUCACCAAGGCGACGAUCCCUAGCUGGUCUGAGAGGAUGACCAGCCACACUGGAACUGAGACACGGUCCAGACUCCUACGGGAGGCAGCAGUGGGGAAUAUUGCACAAUGGGCGCAAGCCUGAUGCAGCCAUGCCGCGUGUAUGAAGAAGGCCUUCGGGUUGUAAAGUACUUUCAGCGGGGAGGAAGGUGUUGUGGUUAAUAACCGCAGCAAUUGACGUUACCCGCAGAAGAAGCACCGGCUAACUCCGUGCCAGCAGCCGCGGUAAUACGGAGGGUGCAAGCGUUAAUCGGAAUUACUGGGCGUAAAGCGCACGCAGGCGGUCUGUCAAGUCGGAUGUGAAAUCCCCGGGCUCAACCUGGGAACUGCAUUCGAAACUGGCAGGCUUGAGUCUUGUAGAGGGGGGUAGAAUUCCAGGUGUAGCGGUGAAAUGCGUAGAGAUCUGGAGGAAUACCGGUGGCGAAGGCGGCCCCCUGGACAAAGACUGACGCUCAGGUGCGAAAGCGUGGGGAGCAAACAGGAUUAGAUACCCUGGUAGUCCACGCCGUAAACGAUGUCUACUUGGAGGUUGUGCCCUUGAGGCGUGGCUUCCGGAGCUAACGCGUUAAGUAGACCGCCUGGGGAGUACGGCCGCAAGGUUAAAACUCAAAUGAAUUGACGGGGGCCCGCACAAGCGGUGGAGCAUGUGGUUUAAUUCGAUGCAACGCGAAGAACCUUACCUGGUCUUGACAUCCACAGAAGAAUCCAGAGAUGGAUUUGUGCCUUCGGGAACUGUGAGACAGGUGCUGCAUGGCUGUCGUCAGCUCGUGUUGUGAAAUGUUGGGUUAAGUCCCGCAACGAGCGCAACCCUUAUCCUUUGUUGCCAGCGGUUAGGCCGGGAACUCAAAGGAGACUGCCAGUGAUAAACUGGAGGAAGGUGGGGAUGACGUCAAGUCAUCAUGGCCCUUACGACCAGGGCUACACACGUGCUACAAUGGCGCAUACAAAGAGAAGCGACCUCGCGAGAGCAAGCGGACCUCAUAAAGUGCGUCGUAGUCCGGAUUGGAGUCUGCAACUCGACUCCAUGAAGUCGGAAUCGCUAGUAAUCGUGGAUCAGAAUGCCACGGUGAAUACGUUCCCGGGCCUUGUACACACCGCCCGUCACACCAUGGGAGUGGGUUGCAAAAGAAGUAGGUAGCUUAACCUUCGGGAGGGCGCUUACCACUUUGUGAUUCAUGACUGGGGUGAAGUCGUAACAAGGUAACCGUAGGGGAACCUGCGGUUGGA